rnacentral:tRNA from 1 species
UGGCCUAUGGGGUAAUUGGCAUCCCGCCUGAUUCUGGCUCAGGAGAUUCCAGGUUCGAGUCCUGGUAGGCCAGCCA